AGCCUGCUCCUAGCAACAGCCAACAGCUCUUGCAGUUGCCAGGCAACAGGAGAACCUGUCAGCCCCUGGGAGGCCAGGCUCACCAGAGGCCUCCAGCUUUCUCCCUGGCUCUCCAGUUUCCUCCACAUGGCAGUCAAGGGAAUCCUGCUCAAAGAAGCCACAUCACCGUCUUGCACACAAACCUUCUGUGGCUCCCCAGUACCCUGAGGAUAAACCCCAUGCACAUUGCUUUGGACCAUGCAGGGGCAGAAGCCCAACAGUGGUGGCUGACAGCAAGGACCCUCCGAGCAGCAGUCUGCAAACUGGCUGGCGGCGUAUGACUCUGGACAAGUACCAGAAACUCCUUGGGUCUCAAGUCUUUUUAUCAGUAAAAUGGACCUAACAGUCAUAGCUACCCAUUGUACUGGCAGAGAUCAGGGCUAAGGGAGGAAAUGUAGGGAAA
ensembl:lncRNA